rnacentral:rRNA from 1 species
AGUUUGAUCAUGGCUCAGGACGAACGCUGGCGGCGUGCUUAACACAUGCAAGUCGAACGAUGAAACCGGUGCUUGCACCGGCGGAUUAGUGGCGAACGGGUGAGUAAUGCGUGGGUAACCUGCCCCUCACACUGGGAUAAGCCCUGGAAACGGGGUCUAAUACCGGAUAUUCCGCUUUCUUCGCAUGGAGAAUUUGGGAAAUGGUUUUUUCUGGUGAGGGAUGGGCCCGCGUCCUAUCAGCUUGUUGGUGGGGUGAUGGCCUACCAAGGCUUCGACGGGUAGCCGGCCUGAGAGGGUGACCGGCCACAUUGGGACUGAGAUACGGCCCAGACUCCUACGGGAGGCAGCAGUGGGGGAUAUUGCGCAAUGGGCGAAAGCCUGACGCAGCGACGCCGCGUGGAGGAUGACGGCUUUCGGGUUGUAACUCCUUUCGACAGGGAACAAGGGUCUUUGACUUGAGGGUACCUGUAUAAGAAGCGCCGGCUAACUACGUGCCAGCAGCCGCGGUAAUACGUAGGGCGCGAGCGUUGUCCGGAAUUAUUGGGCGUAAAGGGCUCGUAGGCGGCUUAUUGCGCCUGCUGUGAAAACGCGGGGCUCAACUCCGCGCGUGCAGUGGGUACGGGUAGGCUAGAGUGCAGUAGGGGUGACUGGAAUUCCCGGUGUAGCGGUGGAAUGCGCAGAUAUCGGGAGGAACACCAAUGGCGAAGGCAGGUCACUGGGCUGUUACUGACGCUGAGGAGCGAAAGCAUGGGGAGCGAACAGGAUUAGAUACCCUGGUAGUCC